AUGGCUGAUUCAGUAGGAAUGGGAACUGAAUCUACCUGCAUCUUUCCUUGUCAGAAUAAUACCUUGACAACUCCCAGUGAUUUUUUUUUCAGUGGAGGAAGCAUUGCAGGUAUUGUGAUCGGUGUUCUUGUUGCGAUUUGUGGUACAGGUGGUGGAAUCAUACUUUGUAGAAAGUUUGUCUGCAUCGAAAAAUCAGAUAGUGCAACACAAACAAACAAUGGGACCUUCAACCAAUA